rnacentral:rRNA from 1 species
ACGGGAGGCAGCAGUGAGGAAUAUUGGUCAAUGGUCGGAAGACUGAACCAGCCAAGUCGCGUGCAGGAAGACGGUCCUAUGGAUUGUAAACUGCUUUUGUACGGGAAUAAAGUGGGGGACGUGUCCCCUUUGGAAUGUACCGUAAGAAUAAGGGUCGGCUAACUCCGUGCCAGCAGCCGCGGUAAUACGGAAGGUCCAGGCGUUAUCCGGAUUUAUUGGGUUUAAAGGGAGCGUAGGCGGAUUAUCAAGUCAGUGGUAAAAUCGUGUGGCCCAACCAUACCUCGCCAUUGAAACUGUUAGUCUUGAGUGCACGCAGGGAUGCUGGAAUUCGUUGUGUAGCGGUGAAAUGCUUAGAUAUGACGAAGAACUCCGAUCGCGAAGGCAGGUGUCUGGAGUGCAACUGACGCUGAGGCUCGAAAGUGCGGGUAUCAAACAGGAUUAGAUACCCUGGUA